AGUGAGCGCUGGCGGUAGGCCUAACACAUGCAAGUCGAACGGCAGCACAGUAAGAGCUUGCUCUUACGGGUGGCGAGUGGCGGACGGGUGAGGAAUACAUUGGAAUCUACUUUUUCGUGGGGGAUAACGUAGGGAAACUUACGCUAAUACCGCAUACGACCUACGGGUGAAAGCAGGGGAGCUUCGGACCUUGCGCGAUUGAAUGAGCCGAUGUCGGAUUAGGUAGUUGGCGGGGUAAAGCCCCACCAAGGGGACGAUCCGUAGCUGGUCUGAGAGGAUAAUCGGCCACUCUUGAGCUGUGACACGAGCCAGACUCCUACGGGAGGCAGCAGUGGGGAAUAUUGGACAGAGGGCGCAAGCCUGAUCCAGCCAUACCGCGUGGGUGAAGAAGGCCUUCGGGUUGUAAAGCCCUUUUGUUGGGAAAGAAAAGCAUCAGGUUAAUACCCCGCUGUUCUGACGGUACCCAAAGAAUAAGCACCGGCUAACUUCGU
rnacentral:rRNA from 1 species